rnacentral:rRNA from 1 species
AUUGAACGCUGGCGGCAGGCUUAACACAUGCAAGUCGAACGAGUGGCGGACGGGUGAGUAAUGCCUGGGAAUCUACCUUAUGGAGGGGGAUAACUACUGGAAACUGUAGCUAAUACCGCGUACCAUCGGAUGUGCCCAAGUGGGAUUAGGUAGUUGGUGGGGUAAAGGCUCACCAAGGCGACGAUCCCUAGCUGGUCUGAGAGGAUGACCAGCCACACUGGGACUGAGACACGGCCCAGACUCCUACGGGAGGCAGCAGUGGGGAAUAUUGCACAAUGGGGGCAAGCCUGACGCAGCCAUGCCGCGUGGAUGAAGAAGGCCUUCGGGUUGUAAAGUACUUUCGGUAGGGAGGCGUUACCUGCAGAAGAAGCACCGGCUAACUCCGUGCCAGCAGCCGCGGUAAUAC